rnacentral:lncRNA from 1 species
ACUAGAUGCUUGUAAGUUUCCUGCCCUUAGAUUUACCCCUUUGACCAUUUCUGCCCAUUAGAUCAUACUAUUCCACCACUAUCCACUCAAUCCUACGGGAUCUGUCACGCCUCGGGGUUCCUUUUUGAUAUAAACUCAAUCCGGAAGUGCCCAAAACUUUUUUUUUAUUUGAAAAUCCUGACCCCAAGAGUAUGCCAGAUCCGCCACAAAUAUAGAGAGUCCACUAUUCACACGGAAAGAGUCUUCCCUAUAUUUGCACGGCGUUGCACAAGUACAAGAUAUAACCACCAAAUAUGAACAUCCAAAUAUUCAUACACCAUUCACAUCUACAGUUAUUUCAUCAUAAAUUUUCAUAAAUCCACAUCUAUCAGUUUAAAAUGUUUCUUACCGAGAAACUCGUUUUGAAAUACUAAUAUUCAGGAAAAACCAGAAAAUUUUUUUAAAAACCGUUUUCCACACGGAAACCUUUUCCUUUUAAAACUCGUUACCAUAAGGGGUAGAAAAUUAUUUUCAUUUUUGCAAGAAUCAUAAAUCUUUUAUUAUAUUCAUAAAGCCAAAUGAAUCCAAAUGUAAUGAAUCACUGAACCAUAAUUACUGUUUAAGUUGUUUAUUUAAAAGAAACUGAGUUUAAGAGUUUAACCAAUAACGGGACGGUAGCUCUAUCGAUCGCUAAGUACGCUCCUCACGAACCGU